GGGCUCGUGGUCUAGCAGGUUAUGACGUCGCCUUGACAUGGCGGAGGUCCGGAGUUCGAAUCUCCGCGGGCCCA
rnacentral:tRNA from 2 species